GGGGCUGUAGCUCAGUGGCAGAGCGCUUGCCUAGCAUGCGUGAAACAUGGGUUUAAUCCUUAGCACCA
rnacentral:tRNA from 1 species